rnacentral:siRNA from 1 species
AGGUAGCGCUGGAUCCGAUAGUGU